rnacentral:rRNA from 1 species
AUUUGCGCAUGGGCGAAAGCCUGNCGCAGCGACGCCGCGUGGGGGAUGACGCUUUUCGGAGUGUAAACCCCUUUCGAUCGGGACGAAUGCCUCGCAAGAGGAGUGACGGUACCGGUAGAAGAAGCCCCGGCUAACUACGUGCCAGCAGCCGCGGUAAUACGUAGGGGGCCAGCGUUGCUCGGAAUAACNUGGGCGUAAAGGGUUCGUAGGCGGUGCGGCAAGUUGGGAGUGAAAUCUCUGGGCUUAACCCAGAGACUGCUUUCAAAACUGCCGUGCUAGAGUGCGGGAGAGGCCAGUGGAAUUGCAGGUGUAGCGGUGAAAUGCGUAGAUAUCUGCAGGAACACCCGUGGCGAAGGCGGCUGGCUGGACCGCAACUGACGCUGAGGAACGAAAGCUAGGGGAGCAAACAGGAUUAGAUACCCUGGUAGUCCUAGCCCUAAACGAUCAGAACUUGGGGUGCAUCCCGUUGGGGGUGCGUCUCGUAGCUAACGCGUUAAGUUCUGCGCCUGGGGAGUACGGUCGCAAGACUGAAACUCAAAGAAAUUGACGGA